AGUGAACGCUGGCGGUAGGCCUAACACAUGCAAGUCGAACGGCAGCACAGUAAGGGCUUGCUCUUAGGGGGGGGGCGGGGCGGCCGGGUGGGAAAUACAUCGGAAUCUGCUUUUAGGUGGGGGAUAACGUAGGAAAACUUACGCUAAUACCCGAAACAACCUACGGGUGAAAUCAGGGGAUUUUCGGCCCUUGCUCGGUUGAUUGGGCCGAUGUCGGGUGAGCAAGUUGGCGGGGUAAAGCCCCUCCAAGGGGAUGAUCCGCAGCUGGUCUGAGGGGAUAGUCGUCUAGCUGGGAACUGAGAAACGGUCCAGACUCCUGCGGGAGGCCGCAGUGGGGAAUAUUGGGCAAUGGGCGAAAGACUGAUCCAGCCAUACCGCGUGGGUGAAGAAGGCCUUCGGGUUGUAAAGCCCUUUUGUUGGGAAAGAAAAGCAGCAGGUUAAUACCCCGAUGUUCUGACGGUACCCAAAGAAUAAGCACCGGCUAACUUCGUG
rnacentral:rRNA from 1 species